CCCACGAAUUUACCUAUAAACUUGAAAAUCCGCACUGCAAGAGCAAGGAAACAGCAGCCGGAUGACAUCUCUGUCCUUAUCUGGUGUCUGUGCCCCUUUAGUCCUACAGAUGGAAGCCCAGAAUGACAUUGACUUAUGAAUUUCCCUGUAGAUUCUAGCACGGGUUUAGAGGCGGAGGAGGAGGAGAAGAAAAGGCCUAUGAAAUUAAUACUGUUAUCAAUUGCUUCUGGUGUUCUCAUCUCAGCUUUUAUCAAUGGAGGUGUAUUUUUAAUGGCAAGACUAAAGAAGCGAGGUAACAAUUCAACUUCUGUAGUGGACUGCUCUAAAUAAUAUGAUAUAGUCUAUUAUUAAUCAAAGCAUAACUUCGAGCGAAUACUGAAGCAUUAGUUAACUUUCCCUUUCGCUUCAUAGAAGUGAAAAUGAAUAAUGAGGAUCUAGAAUUACCUGUGAUCAAAAUGGCUACUAUUAUGCAAGCAACAAAUAAUUUCUCCACCGAAAACAUGAUUGGAGUUGGAGGAUUCGGUCCUGUUUACAAGGUAAUGUACUAAAUGAAAAAGCUGAAGUCGAACAACAAAAAUAUACUUGCCUUACUUGUAAACUAACAUGCAUAAGCAGGGGAACAUGCCAUCUGGAGAAGAAAUCGCAGUCAAAAGAUUAUCCAGAUGCUCACAUCAGGGUCUCGAAGAGUUCAGAAACGAAGUUAUGGUGAUUGCAAACCUUCAACAUAGAAACCUCGUUAGACUUUUGGGAUGUUGCAUUGAAGAAGAGGAAAGGAUGUUAAUCUAUGAAUACCUGCAGAAUAAAAGUCUUGAUCUUUCUCUUGUUGGUAUACUCAGAUUUAUCCUUCAUCUUUUUCUCGUGCUUGUGAAAUCCCAUACUUUCAUCACUAACAUCCACAUGGUGUUCAAUCACUUGCAGAUCAAUAUCGGAGAACACAGUUGACAUGGCCUAAGCGUUAUGAAAUUAUCAUGGGAAUCGCCAGGGGACUGUUAUAUCUCCAUCAUGAUUCAAGAUUAAAGAUUAUUCAUAGGGAUCUCAAAACGAGCAAUAUUUUACUAGACGGGAAUUUAAGUCCAAAGAUAUCAGAUUUCGGCUUGGCAAGAAUAUUUGAAGAGGAUCAAUCUCUUGCUAGAACAAAAAGAGUUAUUGGGACAUAGUAAGUUUUCUCUAUAUCAUCAAAUUACUUCAUUAUUACCCCCUCAAAUUGCUUCAUUCUUUUCUAUGGUGGCCUUAAGAUCAAUAACUUUAUGCAGUGGAUAUAUGGCUCCCGAAUAUGCAAUCGAUGGAAAAUUCUCGGUGAAAUCUGACAUCUUCAGUCUUGGAGUGGUUUUGUUGGAGAUAAUAAGCGGAAAAAAGAACAGAGGAUAUGGACACUCGGAUCACUAUCUUAACCUCUUGGGCCAUGUAUACUAAUACUUUAGUGUCAUUUUUGCGUUCUCUUUGGUUGUAAAUUUAUCAUGGAAAAAUGAAUGAUAAACAAAAUUUCACCCUUUAAAUCCUUCCUUUCUUUUACCACAUUUCCUACUUGGCCCUUACUAAUUCCUCAUUUACACUAUAAAGGAGGGAUAAUAUUAUCACACCAUUUUCAUUUCACCACUUGGCCCUUACUACUUGGCCCUUACUAAUUCCUCAGAGAUAAUAUUAAAAUGGUGUGAUAAUAUUAUCCCUCAUUUGUAGUGUAAAUGAGGAAUGAAUAAGGGUCAAGUAGGAUAUCUGGGAAAAGACUUAAAAGGGUGAAAUUUUGUUUAUUCUUCUUUUUCCCAUGAUAAAUUUACAACCAGAGAUCGCACCCUUAUAAGAAUAAUGUCAAAAAACUUACCUGGUAUAUUGUGACAGGCAUGGUUGCUGUGGAAAGAAAACAGGAUUUUGGAGUUGAUGGAUGAGUGUUUGAAUGAUACAUUUGCGGAGUGUGAAGUGAAGAGAUGCAUGCAAGUGGGAUUAUUAUGUGUUCAGAAAUUUGCGGAAGAUAGGCCAAACAUGUCAUCUGUGGUUUCAAUGUUAGGAAGCGAUGGAGCAAUUUUGGCAGAACCAAAAGAGCCUGGAUUUUUUAUCGAAAGAAGUAGCAGCCCUGUGGGAAAUUAUAAAUCACCAAAUUUUAAGUCGGAGAAUGCAACAAUAACCAUUACUGACUUGGAGGCCAGAUGAGGAGAUGUACCUCUCUCUCUCACCGAGGGAACAAUCUAACUAAUUUGGAGAAGAACUCAAUUAUUUCAUUGAUAUAUUCAAUAUUUCAACCCUUCCUACUACGAGUAGCUGUAUACUUUCUGAUCUUAUAAUAAGUUUCGUAAAACAAGAGAAUGCUGCAUUAAAAUCUGGAAAUCGAAUUUCGGGGGUGAUGGCCGCACCUUGGGGGCCAAAUGCCGGCAAGAUGCCAACUGGGAUCGGACAACUGAGGGAAGGUAAACGACGCACAACAACUGUGGAGAUCGACGAACGGCGACGACUGAAAUAAGACGAAAAUGCUCGCGCGACAUCCGCUGCUUCUCGCUCUAAAUCUGAAUUCUAAAUUGAGAUCCCCCAAUUUGAAAUCCUUUUUUCUAGAUAAUAAU
rnacentral:lncRNA from 1 species